GCCUUCGUAGUGUAAUGGCGAGCACACUCGGCGCGUAUUCGAGAGGCCCAGGUUCAAGUCCCGGCGAGGGCA
rnacentral:tRNA from 1 species